AUAGAUACCCCGGUAGUCCACGCCCUAAACGAUGCGAACUGGAUGUUGGGUACAUUACGGUACUCAGUGUCGAAGCUAACGCGUUAAGUUCGCCGCCUGGGGAGUACGGUCGCAAGACUGAAACUCAAAGGAAUUGACGGGGGCCCGCACAAGCGGUGGAGUAUGUGGUUUAAUUCGAUGCAACGCGAAGAACCUUACCUGGCCUUGACAUCUGUCGAAUCCUGCAGAGAUGCGGGAGUGCCGCAAGGAACGACAAGACAGGUGCUGCAUGGCUGUCGUCAGCUCGUGUCGUGAGAUGUUGGGUUAAGUCCCGCAACGAGCGCAACCCUUGUCCCUAGUUGCCAGCACGUAAUGGUGGGAACUCUAGGGAGACUGCCGGUGACAAACCGGAGGAAGGUGGGGAUGACGUCAAGUCCUCAUGGCCCUUACGGCCAGGGCUACACACGUACUACAAUGGUCGGUACAGAGGGUUGCGAAGCCGCGAGGUGGAGCCAAUCCCGAGAAAACCGAUCCCGAGUCCGGAGUCGGAGU
rnacentral:rRNA from 1 species